CGGUCCGGGGUGCGCGGUCGCUCUUCCCGUGAAAGCGGGGGGGGAGGAAAGUCCGGACUCCGCAGGGCAGGAUGUCCCGUCGCAAGGCGGGGGGCCUUCCGCGAUAUCGGAAGGUACGGAAAGUGCCACAGAGAACAGACCGCCCACGCGGGAUUCGCAAGGGUCCGGCGGGGGUAAGGGUGAAACGGCGGUGUAAGAGACCACCGGCCCCGCGUAAGGCGGGGCGCAGGGCAAACCCCAUCCGGAGCAAGGCCAAAUAGGGAACCGGAGGCGGCCCGUCUCAAGUCCCGCAAGGGGCAAUGGUUCCGGGUUGGCCGCAUUAGAUAAAUGACCGUGGACAACAGAAUCCGGCUUACGGCCCCGGCCGGCCG
rnacentral:RNase_P_RNA from 2 species